CUCCAGAGGUUGCUCCCACUGGCCUCCAGUCUCCAAAGAUAAACAGAACCAUAGGGUCCAUGAGAGGCCUGAAGUGAAUCAUAUGGCAUCGGAUACAAAUGAGACAUUUAAGGCGGCGUCUGAGCACCUGGAAUUCCAAAGUCAAAUCCACCCAGGGAGUUAACCACAAAUAUUGUGUCUGUCACAUAACUAAGAAGAGCAAUUGCUUCUACAGGUCAGCAUUUCACUCAUGGAAGAGACCAACUCUACUUGUGACUGGGGCCAAACCUAAUCAGGAAGCAGCUGUUCGAAUCAUCGAAUCAUUCACACUCAGGGACUUCAGUCCAUAAAAACAAGCUCUUCUCAGAGUAUCGGGCAUAACUGUUGGGAUAAACAGAAUGCUGAAGGUCCUACUUACCAUGCCAUUCCAGAACAUUCUACCCUGUUCUCAAGAAUGUUCCAGUUCCAAUGCAGAAUGCAUAUUAAGAACACUUCUUAAGCAUCCAGUUCAAGGUCUCCUAUUCAGCGACGCCUGAAGCUCAAGUGCAGAGUCCCAUUUGGUUUCAGAGGGAGGACUGAGCAUCACACAGGAGAAGCUGGAUUCAUGCAUAGGAGCAAAUGAAUCUCUACCCAGAGAUCUCUACUACAGGGGGAAGCAGCAGCCACUGCACAGAGGGACUUCACAUGCUUCCUUGCGUCUGCUCAGCAUCGCUGAGGGUGGAACACCUCUAACCUUCUCUGGGUUAUGUCAUGGGUCUGACAAUGCAACAUGGGAUGCUUUGUUCCAGCUGCAGAAGGAGCAAGCAGGCAAACACUCCCUGUGCAACAUUGCUGCCAUUCACUCUACAAAUUCC